ensembl:lncRNA
AUGCAACAGUCAUGUGACUUAUGUUACACCGUUCAGUUUUACAGUCAAAUGGCUGGGUGUGGCUUUGUUGUUGCUGCCAGUGCUUCUCCAGCCUGCACCAUACAAGUUGAAGGAGAGCGUUCCGACCCAGCAGAGGUUCAGCAGGCCUUCACUGACUUCCAACCUACUGGAACCAGUCUGGUGAAGAACCUGAAUGGGACCACAGUGGAGCACCACAUGUCCUUAUGGCUGCAGAAGACCAUCGAUGUUCCCAAGAAUUUGUGACCAUCAGUGGAACUGGAAUACCCGUCUGUUCUUAAACAUUGUUUGUGUUGAUGUCAACUCUCCAGAACCACGAGCACAGAUUUGGGGGUUUAUUCAGACAUUUAUCUUUGCAUCAUGAAUCUAACGCUGUGAAGCUUUGAGGGCUCAUGUUGCUAUGAUGUAAGGUUGAUGUUCUGCUGACUAAAGCAUUAAGGUGAGUGUUGGGAGCUGAUGGACAUUUACUUCACUACAGUUCUUCCAUUAAAGUUGUUUAACAUGUUUAAGACAUUACAAGUUACGAAAUGUUUAAUAUUUGUCAUUAAUAAAUGUAAUUAGUAGUCAUUUACAAAACCAGUUUGAAUAUGAACGCAUGUUUAGAGAAAGUAGAAAAUGCAGCUUUAUUUGUUAUCUUUGUAUUUUGAAAAUUAACAUAAUUUUUAUGAUAAAGAUUUGACUGAGACAUGUUCAUUUUGUUUUAUUGAAUUAUUCAGUUUGUAUUUUAUUUAUUGUAUUUACUGUAGAAUUGGGUCAUUUUAACCCGAGCUUUAGUAACUUAAUAACCCAGAAGUUGGGUUUUAUUUUUAACCCAGUUGUGGGUAGUCCUAACUAUACAGUUGGGUCAUUUGAACCCAUUGACUGGGUAGAAAGCAUAACCCAAUAAGCUGGGUCCAACUCAUAACCCAACCCUGCUAGGUUAAAAUAACCCAGGUGCUGGGUCGGUCCCUUUUGGACCCAGCACCUGGGUUACUAAACAACCCAAAUUGGGUUAUUUUUAACCCAGCAGUUUUAAGUGUGAUGAUGUGGCUUUUAGACCACGACUCGUUUUAUUAUUCUAUUGUGUUCUUGGUGGUCCUCGUGUUUUAUCUGCUUGUAUUCGUAUCCUGUGUUCUGAUUGGUCGUGAUUUGGUCCAGCCUGUGCAGCACUCUGGGCAGCUCCCAUGCUGCGCUGUAAAUGUGCCAUACACAUAAGCUGUGGACGUGGUAUGUGUUGUAAGAACCUCGUAGAACCUCAGUAGGUGCCAUGUGGUUACCAUUUACAGGACCCCCCUCCGACAUCUCCAUUAACCCCCAGUUCACCUCUGACAGUCACAGUGAAGUCAGACAGAAAGGCGGAGCCAGCUGACAGAGAAAGGUACGCUAAUGAACAAAGAGAAAUUCCCAACAAACUGUAAAACUUCGGGUUCUGCAGCACGGAACCGCGCGCUGGAGCUACAGGUGUUAUGCAGAGAAAAGUGACCCUGCCUGCCGACGGCUCCGCCUACCUGCUCCGUCACACACGGCUCACAGCUGCAUGGUGAGGGAGUAAAGAACUUGAAAUAAGAGCAACGCUGCUACUUUUAAGUAUAUUCACAAUAUAAACAAGUUUUCAUUGGUGCACUUCCUAAAUACAUAAAAGUCAAACUUAAAGGACCAUUCGGAUGUGUUUUCUUCUCAUUUUAAUGCUUUUCUGAAAAGUAUCGGACAGGACUCGGUAUCGACAGACACUCAGAAUCAGAUCAGGAACAAAAUAAGGUGAUCGGAACAUCUCUACUUUAUUCCUCUCAGCUCGAGGCUACCAGGGCGCCAGAUUCAGAUAAGAACUGUUUGGGUCAGGCAGACAUAAUUCUCUCUGCCUUUCAGUUGUUAACCGAUCAUUCCAGUCUCUCGGUACAUCCAUUUUUGGGAUUAACCUUGCCCAUACCAUGAACUGACUUCCUCCAAGAUCACACCCAUCUUGCGCACUAACACCAGGAUCGCAGCUAGAAUCUCUAGCUGGCCAUUCACCUUGAGCAGCUUCCCAGUCUGAGCCGUCUCCACACGGCUGACACUUUCCAUGGUCAUUGUUAAACUUCAUGCUGUACAACAUGUCGUCCUUUAUUAGCUAAACACCACUAAACAUCAUCAUACACGGUGUCGGAAGUUGGCGAGAAGAUUCCGAAGUUGGCGCUUCAGCGCGACUGAACGGGAAAGCUCAACUCGACAGCGGACCAGACGUAACGUGCUGGUAAGAGAAGGGCCUGCUAGCACGCAGCUUCCCCAUCGGAGAAAAGAUGGACCAGGCAGUUACGAUGCUGCCGCCGGGAAGUUUUAACUUUGAUGAGCCGAGCGGUGGGACUCAGUGGCUUCGACGCUUUGAGCGGUUUAGAGUAGCAUCAGGAUUAUCCGAGAAGCCGGAUCAGCAUCAAGUCAACUCGCUGAUGGGCGACAAUGAAAGGAGGAAAUAUGCAGACGUGUGCAGAGCUCUGGGUGAGCAUUUUAUCAGCAAACAUAAUGUCAUUUAUGAAAGGGCCCAGAUUUCGUAGCAGAUACCAGCAGCCAGGAGGAAAACUUCAUCACAGAUGGUCAUAAGCUGGCUGAACGCUGCCGGUACGGCGUCCUACUGGAAGAAAUGAUCAGAGAUCGGAUUGUAGUUAGGAUCAGAGAUGCUAAAUGUCCAAAAGACCACAGUUAGACCCAAAUCUCACCCUAGCAAAGACAAUAACUCUGACACGACAAAAUGAAGACGUGAAGAUGCAACAGCCGGGGAAAAGACUGAGGCUAAAGAACAUAACUUGGCUGGUUGCAGAGCCAAAAUAACAACACAGAGAGCAGAAACAUGCAGGAGAUGUGGGAGGAGCCCUCAGCAUGCAUGGAAACAGUGUCCUGCCAGAGAAGCUGAGUGUAUAAAUGUAAAAGGAGAGGACAUUUUGCUGCAACGUGUAGAGCAGGACAAAGAGUGGAGACUAUCGAAGAAACGCAUCAGAUGGAGGAAGGUGCAUUUGUGGGUGCUAUCCAUAGAGGGAAACAGGAAGUGUGGAGGCAGGAUAUACAGAUGAAUGGAAGAGUUGUUGACUUCAAGUUAGACACAGGGGCAGCAGUCGCAGGCAAACCAGAGUCCAUGUAUUCAAAAGCCAGAGACGGCAAACUACAGAAAACACAAAAGAAAAGCAGUGGGCCCAACAACCAGCCACUGAGCACGCCUUGAAAGGGACAGAAGGACGACAGAGCAACAUACAUCUGUCCUUAAAGACUUAGUAACACCACUACUGGGCCUUCCAGCCAUCCAGAGCUUACAGUUACUACAACAAGCAGCAGCAGUUCAAGCAGGAGAAAAUCAUUUCCAGAGGUGUUCUCAGGCUUGGGUACACUACAGGAACGCUCUAAAAUAGAGCUAGCCAAGGGAGCCACGCCGUAGGCCCCGUCAGCACCAAGACGUGUGGCCUUACCACUCACGGAUAA